rnacentral:rRNA from 1 species
AGUGAACGCUGGCGGUAGGCCUAACACAUGCAAGUCGAACGGCAGCACAGUAAGAGCUUGCUCUUACGGGUGGCGAGUGGCGGACGGGUGAGGAAUACAUCGGAAUCUACUUUUUCGUGGGGGAUAACGUAGGGAAACUUACGCUAAUACCGCAUACGACCUACGGGUGAAAGCAGGGGAUCUUCGGACCUUGCGCGAUUGAAUGAGCCGAUGUCGGAUUAGCUAGUUGGCGGGGUAAAGGCCCACCAAGGCGACGAUCCGUAGCUGGUCUGAGAGGAUGAUCAGCCACACGGGAACUGAGACACGGUCCAGACGCCUACGGGAGGCAGCAGUGGGGAAUAUUGGACAAUGGGCGCAAGCCUGAUCCAGCCAGACCGCGUGGGUGAAGAAGGCCUUCGGGUUGGAAAGCCCUUUUGUUGGGAAAGAAAAGCAGCAGGUUAAUACCCCGCUGUUCUGACGGUACCCAAAGAAUAAGCACCGGCUAACUUCGUG